rnacentral:rRNA from 1 species
GACGAACGCUGGCGGCGUGCCUAAUACAUGCAAGUAGAACGCUGAAGGAGGAGCUUGCUUCUCUGGAUGAGUUGCGAACGGGUGAGUAACGCGUAGGUAACCUGCCUGGUAGCGGGGGAUAACUGUUGGAAACGAUAGCUAAUACCGCAUAACAGUAGAUAUCGCAUGAUAUCUACUUGAAAGGUGCAGUUGCAUCACUACCAGAUGGACCUGCGUUGUAUUAGCUAGUUGGUGAGGUAACGGCUCACCAAGGCGAAGAUACAUAGCCGACCUGAGAGGGUGAUCGGCCAACAUGGGAAUGAGACACGGCCCAGACUUCUACGGGAGGCAGCAGGAGGGAAUCUUCGGCAAUGGACGGAAGUCUGACCGAGCAACGCCGCGUGAGUGAAGAAGGGUCUCGGAUCGUAAAGGUCUGUUGUAAGAGAAGAAAGAGCGUGAGAGUGGAAAGUUCACACUGUGACGGUAUCGUACCAGAAAGGGACGGCUAACUACGUG